rnacentral:lncRNA from 10 species
UUUUAUUUUUAUAUUAUUUAUUUAUUCUUCCUUAGUUUCUUGAGAUUAUCAUCCGCUGAGGGUGGAAGGGGAGUGAGCAGACACACUCAGGAGGUGUCUUGAGAUUAUCAUCCGCUGAGGGUGGAGCUGAGGGUGGAAGGGGAGUGAGCAGACACUCGGGAGGUGUCUUGAGAUUAUCAUCCGCUGAGGGUAGAGCUGAGGGUGGAAGGGGAGUGAGCAGACACUCGGGAGGUGUCUUGAGAUUAUCAUCCGCUGAGGGUGGAAGGGGAUAGAGCACACACUCGGAAGGUGUCUUGAGAUUAUCAUCCGCUGAGGGUAGAGCUGAGGGUGGAAGGGGAGUGAGCAGACACUCGGGAGGUGUCUUGAGGCUCAGGGAGUUAUCAAUUAUAGAAUGUUGUUGAGUUGGAGGAGGUGGCUGGUGGCCCAUCCUGUUUUUUAAAGUUUC